GACGAACGCUGGCGGCGUGCUUAACACAUGCAAGUCGAACGGAAAGGCCUCUUUCGGGGGGUACUCGAGUGGCGAACGGGUGAGUAACGCGUGAGUAACCUGCCCUUGACUUUGGGAUAACUUCAGGAAACUGGGGCUAAUACCGGAUAGGAGCUCCUGCUGCAUGGUGGGGGUUGGAAAGUUUCGGCGGUUGGGGAUGGACUCGCGGCUUAUCAGCUUGUUGGUGGGGUAGUGGCUUACCAAGGCUUUGACGGGUAGCCGGCCUGAGAGGGUGACCGGCACAAAGGGGAAGGAGGUAAGGCGCGGGAUUCGACGGGGGGCAGUAGGGGGGAAGAUGGGCCAACGGGCGGGAGCACGAUGCAGGAAGGGCGGGGGGGGGGUGAGGGGCUGGGGGUGGGAAAAAGGUGGCAGCAGGGGAUAAGCGGGGGGUGACGGGACCGGCAGAAGAAGCAACGGAUAACUACGGG
rnacentral:rRNA from 1 species